rnacentral:lncRNA from 1 species
UCCUAUCAACCUUCAUUAACAGGGGGAACAGUUUUAUCCAAUAAGUAUUUACAAUAAAACCUGUAGGCAGUUCCAAGUUUGUGGAGAUCAGCACUUCGAAUUUAAUUGCAGAGGCUUUUUAGUAAAAAAAAAAAAUUAAAAAAUUAACAAUUAAAAAUUGUGUGCUAAAACCACUCCAAUUAAGGAAUAAGCAGAUCAGCUAUUUACCAGAAGAACUGCUUCUGUUUUAAGGCUAAGUCACACUUAAAACCGGCAUAAAGAGUACAACACAAAGAUUUACAGAUGUGGGAGGCCAGGCUGGAGGUAUGGAAUAGAAACAGCAGCUGAAAGGAUGUCCCUUUUCAUGAAUCUCUCUGACAAGACAGAGACUUCUACUGUCUUUUACUGUCAUUUUUUUCAGGUUACAGGAACACUCAGAGGAGCAGAGUAUAUGAAACUGAGACAAUGAUGAAAAUGGAUUUUAGCAGCAACCUGCCCAGGCAAGUGCUGCUGUGCCACAAACAGCCACACUUGGAUUCAGGUCUAAACCUUGCAAUUCCUGGAAUCAAAGAAGACAACAAGAUUAUCAUGAUGAUGUUAAUACAGCUGCUGCAAUACUGCCCUAAUAAUAUCUUCAAAUCAAACAACUUAUUUACAAUGAAUCAUUUUCAUCUUAGAAAACUGCAUGCUCAGACUUAAUCAGAGCUAUUAAAAAUCUCCAAAUACAAAUUACACUAUCUAAGCAACUCCUUUUGAAACUCCUGACCAAGAGACUUGCAGUGGGUAGCAAUAUGAAAUUUUCCUACUGUUUUUCAGCAGGAUCAAGGCCAAGCCUGAAGGAAGGUUUUGUGUUUUCUCCAGUAUCACCAUCACCUUCAGCCACUGAGAACAUGAGGGUCUGUGCAGGGCCUUGGCACAACUUUGCCUCUUGAUCUCCUUGGUUGAUUUUUGGUUUGUUUGUUUGGGGGGUUUUUUUGGUGCUUAUUAUUUUUUGGUUGUUUUUUUUUCUAAUCAACCCAAAGAUGAGAUAUAAGCAGGUCAAUGCAAAUGAAGUUUUUGUUACAGCCAGAAAACUAAUGAGACUUUCUUAAAAAGAACCCUACAAACACCUUUGACCAAAUACAGAGACCCAAAUUUAAGUGCACAUUCAUUCCUACACAAAGGCUAAUCAUGCAAAUCCCACCAAACAAUAUUGUAACCCAGCCUUUUCACAGCUGGAAUGAAGAAAAUUAAUUAAAACCAAAACACAAAUGAACAGAAAUAAACAAGCUGAAAAAAAAUAAUGAAAACA